rnacentral:lncRNA from 1 species
AUGAGAGAAAAGAGAAGGAAAGAAAAGAGGGAAAUAAAAAGGAAGGUAGAAGAGAUGAAGGCAAAGAAUCAUAGAGCUGACUUUUCAGGUGCCGCAAAACCACCACCAGGACCGCAGAACCAAAAAGGUGGACAAAUUUGCUUCAGGAUGUCAAUAAAGCUGCCCUUAAUGAUGGGCUUCAGGCUGACUGCAAUGGACUGUGUGCAGCACACCUGGAUAUCGUGUGAAUCUGUUACUGCUACAGCUGUGAAACUCUUCUGACAAAGGAUCCAAUGCUUCUUCUCUACUGGAAACUGUUUCUGGCAGCAUGUACGUGGUAAGUCUUGCACAGCUAGAGAUUCUUCAUAAAUGAUUCCAAGACCGUUUUUUUUUUUUUCAAAAGGGG